rnacentral:rRNA from 1 species
UACGAAGGGGGGCUAGCGUUGCUCGGAAUCACUGGGGCGUAAAAGGGCGCGUAGGCGGCCAUUCAAGUCAGAGGUGAAAGCCCAAGGCUCAACCUUGGAAUUGCCUUUGAUACUGUUUGGCUUGAGACCGGAAGAGGUAAGUGGGAACUGCGAGUGUAGAGGUGAAAUUCGUAGAUAUUGCAAGAACACCAGUGGCGAAGGCGGCUUACUGGUCCGGUUCUGACGCUGAGGCGCGAAAAGCGUGGGGGAGCAAAACAGG